GAUGAAGAACGUAGCGAAAUGCGAUAAGUAAUGUGAAUUGCAGAAUUCAGUGAAUCAUCGAAUCUUUGAACGCACCUUGCGCCCUUUGGCCAUUCCGAAGGGCAUGCCUGUUUGAGUAUCAUGAACACCUCAACUCUUCAUGGUUUUCCAUGAUGAGCUUGGACUUUGGGGGUCUUGCUGGCCUGUGGGUCGGCUCCUCUCAAAUGAAUCAGCUUGCCGGUUUUUGGUGGGCAUCACAGGUGUGAUAACUAUCUACGCUUGUGGUUUUCCACCAGGGUAACCUUCAGCAGUGGAGGUUCACUGGAGCUUACAAAUGUCUCUCCUCUGUGAGGACAGCCCUUUGAAUGUUUGAUCUCAAAUCGGGUAGGACUACCCGCUGAACUUAAGCAUAUCAAUAAGCGGAGGA
rnacentral:misc_RNA from 1 species